GAUCCUGGCUCAGGAUGAACGCUAGCUACAGGCUUAACACAUGCAAGUCGAGGGGCAGCAUGACCUAGCAAUAGGUUGAUGGCGACCGGCGCACGGGUGAGUAACACGUAUCCAACCUACCGGUUAUUCCGGGAUAGCCUUUCGAAAGAAAGAUUAAUACCGGAUAGUAUAACGAGAAGGCAUCUUCUUGUUAUUAAAGAAUUUCGAUAACCGAUGGGGAUGCGUUCCAUUAGUUUGUUUGGCGGGGGUAAACGGGCCCCACCCAAA
rnacentral:rRNA from 1 species